rnacentral:rRNA from 1 species
UACGUAGGUGGCAAGCGUUGUCCGGAUUUAUUGGGUUUAAAGGGUGCGUAGGCGGCCAUGUAAGUCAGUGCUGAAAUAUCCCGGCUUAACCGGGAGGGUGGCAUUGAUACUGCGUGGCUAGAGUACAGAUGAGGUAGGCGGAAUUGACGGUGUAGCGGUGAAAUGCUUAGAUAUCGUCAAGAACACCUAUAGCGAAGGCAGCUUACUAAGCUUUAACUGACACUGAGGCACGAAAGUGUGGGGAUCAAACAGG